rnacentral:lncRNA from 1 species
UACCAAGUCUCAAUUCCCAUCCUUCCCAGUGAACCAGGAAAGCCCAGCUAUAAACUUGGGAUCAUUUCUAAUCUGUACUAUGACUGAGUAAUACAGAGUUAAAUAAGUUUGCAGCAUAUGACACCGGCCAUUACUAAACCGAUUGUCCUCAUAAACUAUGUACUCUGAAUACUUCAAGGGUAGCCACCCGAUUUUGGGUGCUCACUAUGGAGUGCUGAUAUGUGUAUGUCAAAAGACCAUAGUGCAAAGCACUCACUCAAUAUUAUUAACGAUGAAAAGGGUGAUGACUGUUUUUGCAGUCCCGAUGAGAUAUCUGGCUUGCAGGUGAGCAUGAACACCCUGAAUGGAAUCAAAGGCCUGUCAUUUUCUUGAAAUGACAGCCUGAUAUGGUUAAUGUAAAUAAACACUGAGAAUGGUCAUGCACGCCUCAUUGCUUUGAAUAGGAAAUUACAGCCCUCGGGGUCUCAGAACCUCAGACAGCAUCAAUACAUAAGCCUAAAAAAGCCCCACAGAUCUCUAACACCUCACAGAUAGAUCCUCUCUUACAGAAAGGGUGGGACCAUGUGCCCUCAAUAUUUCCAAAGAGAUCCAGUCUUUAGGAAGGGACAUGGAACAUUUGAACCGCCUAGACAUUUGAACAAAUUAGAUCAUUUAGAUCUGUGGGUAGUACCUGCCUGGACUUGGCCUUCCUCCUGCCCAGCUGGCUGGCAGACCUUGGGAAUCUGCCCUGGCUGGACAUGACAUGCAGGUAUUGGUCAUUGUUGCUGUUUUGAUGGUCACUGCUGGAUGCUGCUGACACAGAAUCAGAUUCUGUGAAGGACGGCUCGAACUUGGCCUUGACUCUGGCCUUCAGGGCAUGCUGUGGGUAUUGGCCGUUCCUGGAUCGUGGCUUUCUGUGUACAAAUGUGGGCCUCUCAAGCUGGUCUUCAAAACUAUUAUCCCCAGAUCUGUAGUACACCCUUCGCUGGUAUUUAGGGUCUCUGGUGUUAUUUUCUGAUCUGUCACCAGUGUAAAAACAAGAAGACCGAGGCAGGUCUGUCAGGGAGCUAGCAGGGAUUGACCACUGGACCAAAUCUCUCCUGAGCAUCUCCUCCUCUUCUUCACUCAGCUGUGGAGAGCAAGGCUGGUUGGGAACCCAGGACAUGUACUGCUGCACAUUCCUGGGGUACAGCUCUACAAUGUCACCUAAAGCAUCUAUCUUGAAAUGCCUUUCUGGCCAGAAAGCUCGGUGGGUCUUUUUGUGAGAGUCACGUUCAUUAACCACAUAGUACCUGGGAGCACGGGGACUGUGGUCAUGUGUCAUCAAGGUAGAGACCCCAGAUCCACAGAAAGGAGGACUGAUUGGCUGAAAGUCUUUCCGGGAAAGAGGCUCUGAGCGGACAUCUUUGAGGGGCUGUGUCUGUGUCACAGAUGAGCAGGAUCUGUUCUUGUGGAGGUUGCUUGUGCUGGAACAUGGCCUAUGUGGAUGCCUGUAAGACAGACGUGGUUAAGUAGCUAUGGCCUCUGUAUCCCUCCACAGCCCCAGGAAUUCCAAAGUGUCUGUAUGUGAUUUGUGGGCUGCAUGCACAGAAGCACUCAGGGAGCAGGGCCACACACUGAAUAUCUCAGAGCCCUGAUAUGAUAAGGGAUGACACUCUCUAUGAGGGUGCACAUAAAGGCCUCAUUAACAUAUGUCAUCACAGAGCACUGGUUCUGUUAGGAACAAUUUUAUGGGGCUAAUGUUUGUGGAAUGCAUGUUAGGAAUACUGCUCUAGUGGGCUAACCUGCUCUCCAGCUUCUCAGGAACUCCCUCAAGUGUCCACUUGGGCGAACUCUACCUGUCAAAGGACCAGUGACUGUGCUUUGGUCCCCAACCCCAGUGACCUCCCAAGAAAAAUUUAGAUUCUUCCUUGACUACUUGUCAAGGUACUCCAAGGAUAUGAAGACAACUUGCAUAAAACAAAUCCUCAAGUUCUAUGAUAAUUUGCAGUAAGGAAAAAGAAAAAUUAUAUCUAUCUCUAUGGUGUCCACUGUACUACAAAUGAUGGACAUGAUUCUGUCUCCUCAUUCCUCUGGGUGCUGUUUGAAGAGUAAAGGAAGUUGGGUUCUCCUGCUUUCUGGAAGAUGAAAUUGAAGCAUCUGGCCCAUAUACAUAACACAUUGAGGGUCUUGCCAAUAACUUAUCAGUCUGCGUGUGAGGUGGAGACCAUUUACCAUUCGAAGAAUGGAAUGAGGCCAGAUAAAAAGAUAGGGAAGCCCUGGGACCCAGUGAGCGGAAGGAACCCAUCACCCAGGGUAUAGUGGAGCCUCCCACUAGCCGAGAAGCAGGAAUCCCAGAACUCUCAACACUGGCUAUGACGGCUGGGACAUAGGGGCUCAUAGUGCUCGCAUCCAUAGAUACUCCAUGUGCACUAAGGAACCAGGGUUAAGGCCUGAGUGUGUGUGACCUUGCAUAGAGUUUUAUUCCUUCCCUAGACAAGGCCUGAGUGUCUAAAACAAGACUGCUCAUUCUGUUUUCAGUGACAGUAUCCUGACCUUCUGUGUCACUGACAUCUAUGUUUUUACCUUAUACAUUGUAAUCCUGUCAGUUGCUCAUUUAAGUUUCUUAAUAAACCUUUGCGCCGGGCGUAGUAGUUCACGCCUUUAAUCCCAGCACUCGGGAGGCAGAAGCAGGUGGAAUUCUGAGUUCAAGGCCAGCCUGGUCUAAUAAAGUAAGUUCCAGGACAGCUAGGGCUAUACAGAGAAACCCUGUCUCGAAAAAACCAAGUGGGCAGGGGGAG